rnacentral:rRNA from 1 species
GUGAUGGGGAGAAGACAUUGUGUCUUCGAGUCGUUGAUUUCACACUGCCGAGAAAAGCCUCUAGAUAGAAAAUAGGUGCCCGUACCGCAAACCGACACAGGUAGUCAAGAUGAGAAUUCUAAGGUGAGCGAGCGAACUCUCGUUAAGGAACUCGGCAAAAUGACCCCGUAACUUCGGGAGAAGGGGUGCUCUUUAGGGUUAACGCCCAGAAGAGCCGCAGUGAAUAGGCCCAAGCGACUGUUUAUCAAAAACAC